rnacentral:rRNA from 1 species
GACGAACGCUGGCGGCGUGCUUAACACAUGCAAGUCGAACGGAAAGACCCUGCUUUUGUGGGGUGCUCGAGUGGCGAACGGGUGAGUAACACGUGAGUAACCUGCCCUUGACUUUGGGAUAACUUCAGGAAACUGGGGCUAAUACCGGAUAGGAGCUCCUGCUGCAUGGUGGGGGUUGGAAAGUUUCGGCGGUUGGGGAUGGACUCGCGGCUUAUCAGCUUGUUGGUGGGGUAGUGGCUUACCAAGGCUUUGACGGGUAGCCGGCCUGAGAGGGUGACCGGCCACAUUGGGACUGAGAUACGGCCCAGACGCCUACGGGAGGCAGCAGGGGGGAAUAUUGCACAAUGGGCGGAAGCCGGAUGCAGCAACGCCGCGUGCGGGAUGACGGCCUUCGGGUUGUAAACCGCUUUCGCCUGUGACGAAGCGUGAGUGACGGUAAUGGGUAAAGAAGCACCGGCUAACUACGUG